CACACACACACACUGGCUGAAAGAGACACAAGAAAACUGACUGAAACUGACUCGGCAGGAUAUCGCAUCCUGGGCCUACUUAGUCUAUCAGGCAUAGACAUCAGAGUCGAAGUAGUUCGGACUGGGGAAACGACACAUGCUCGCUAGGAUGUCGCAUCCUAUGCAUACGUAUCUUCUCGGACGAGAGAAGAAUCAGAGCAUUCGUAGCUCGGCUGACACGCACACAAACAAACACAGGCAAAGGC
rnacentral:lncRNA from 1 species